UCGCAUCUGUGCAUGCAGCAUAUCAAUAAGCGGAGGAAAAGAGGGCUAUUACCUACGCUUAGGAUGUUGACGAGACUGUCGAUCUCAUCUAUACAUGACUCUGUGCAUAUCAAUAAGCGGAGGAAAAGACUGCGGAACUGAACGACCGCUACCUACGCUUAGGAUGUUGACACACGCGCGUGCUCGACUCUAUACAUGACUCUGUGCAUAUCAAUAAGCGGAGGAAAAGAAACUAACAAGGAUUCCCCUAGUAACGGCGAGUGAAGCGGGAAGAGCUCAAAUUUGAAAUCUUAAAGGGUUUCCCUUUACGAAUUGUAGUUUAAAGAAGUGUUUUCUGUUGAGGUUUUGGUAAAAGUUCUUUGGAAUAGGACAUCAUAGAGGGUGAGAAUCCCGUAUUUGACCUUUACUUUCAACUUUGUGAUACACUUUCAAAGAGUCGGAUUGUUUGGGAAUGCAGUCCAAAAUGGGUGGUAAAUUUCAUCUAAAGCUAAAUAUUGGCGAGAGACCGAUAGCGAACAAGUACCGUGAGGGAAAGAUGAAAAGAACUUUGAAAAGAGAGUUAAACAGUACGUGAAAUUGUCAAAAGGGAAGCGUUUGACACCAGUGUUGUUUUUCUGAAAAUCAAUUAAAGAACUGUUUAUGCUAAGUUGUUUAGACUUUAUCAGCUAACUGUUUAGUUUUGAUGCUUUUCUUUAAUGCACUUUUCAGUUAACAAGUCAACAUCAAUUUCUUUUGCUGUAAAAAAGCUUGAGGAAGGUGGCUUGAGAUUCGUCUUAAGUGUUUAUAGCCUCUUGCCUAUGCAGUCGGAGAGAUUGAGGUCUGCAGCGUAGAUCCUCCGGGGCUAAAUGCAUUUGUGCUAAGUUAUAACAUUUUAUAGACAACUUGUUGACUAUGAUUUGUCUUGUAGCUUACUCGCUUAUGUUAUUUUACCUACGCUUAGGAUGUUGAGCGCAUGUCUCUCUCU
rnacentral:rRNA from 1 species